rnacentral:rRNA from 1 species
GACCGUGCAAAGGUAGCAUAAUCAUUUGCCUUAUAAUUGAAGGCUAGUAUGAAUGGUUUGACGAGAAUUAAGCUGUCUCUAUUCAAUUAAAUAUAAUUUUAUCUACAGGUGAAGAAGCCUGUAUCCCGCUGAAAGACAAGAAGACCCUGUCGAGCUUUAAAUAAUUUAGUGAAUAAGUCAGAUGUUCAUAAAAGAGCUAGGUCACUAAAAAUUUUGGUUGGGGCGACUGAGGAACAAAAAGAGCUUCCUCUCAUUUUUAAGACUGACAAGUAUUGAUCCAGUGUUACUGAUUAAAGGAAUUAGUUACCGCAGGGAUAACAGCAUAAUCCCCUUUGAGAGCCCUCAUCGAAAAGGGGGCUUGUGACCUCGAUGUUGGACCAGAAUUUCCGGAAGAUGCAGCCGUCUUCAAAGGUUGGUCUGUUCGACCAUUAAAAUUCUACGUGAUCUGAGUUCAGACCGGCGUGAGCCAGGUCAGUUUCUAUCUUCAGCUGAUAAAAUAGUUUUAGUACGAAAGGACCAAGUUAUUGUAAUACGUUAUUUAUACUGAUUAAAUAUAAAUAGAGAUUAAAACCUUAACGAUCAAAUUAGCAAAGAGAAUGCAACUGACUUAGGAUCAGGAGACAUAGGUGAAACCCCUUUAUUUGAUAGACUUAGGGAUAAAAAUAGAGGUGGCAGAGUAA